GACGAACGCUGGCGGCGUGCCUAAUACAUGCAAGUAGAACGCUGAAGGAGGAGCUUGCUCUUCUGGAUGAGUUGCGAACGGGUGAGUAACGCGUAGGUAACCUGCCUGGUAGCGGGGGAUAACUAUUGGAAACGAUAGCUAAUACCGCAUAAGAGUAGAUGUUGCAUGACAUUUACUUAAAAGGUGCAAUUGCAUCACUACCAGAUGGACCUGCGUUGUAUUAGCUAGUUGGUGGGGUAACGGCUUACCAAGGCGACGAUACAUAGCCGACCUGAGAGGGUGAUCGGCCACACUGGGACUGAGACACGGCCCAGACUCCUACGGGAGGCAGCAGUAGGGAAUCUUCGGCAAUGGACGGAAGUCUGACCGAGCAACGCCGCGUGAGUGAAGAAGGUUUUCGGAUCGUAAAGCUCUGUUGCAAGAGAAGAACGAGUGUGAGAGUGGAAAGUUCACACUGUGACGGUAUCUUACCAGAAAGGGACGGCUAACUACGUG
rnacentral:rRNA from 1 species